ensembl:lncRNA
AAUAACGUCUAUUAAUGUUAGAUAUAGUUUUCAAUAGCAAAUAAUUAAUCUCGCAUCGCUUAAAAACUAUAUAAUUGACUGAACGCUUUCUAUCAGUUUAAACACAGACCUUUUUGAGCCGAAUCACAACAGACGCGGGAGCGCGCGCUGCCCUAUGACGUCACGCCGCCAGAGCAAAAUUAAAGUCCUUCUCCAAACCAGCUCAGACACAAUGAACAGCUUUCAGACAGAGCUCUCAUUGGCCAGCUGAUCUUACUGCAUGAUCAAACAUAUAUUUAAAAUGAAAUAAAUCUAAUCAUAAAGGUAUUAAUAAUAUAGCCUUACUGUCAGUGUUAUUUAUACAAUAUAAAUUUAACCUUGUGGGAUUACAAAUGUAAGAAUCUGCCUUAAUAAAACAAGCGCGGCGUCAUUGAACCUCUUGAGAAAUAGCGGCGUAAAGAACAGAAUGUAGAAAUCUUCCUCGUGCUCCAUCUUCGUCUCACUCCAGUACAGCAGGUGGCGGCAAGCACCCGCCAAUAAACUCACAGAAGAAGAAGAAGAAGAAGGCAGCGCCUGCGAACGGGACUUUUAUUUUGGCUGCCGGGCGCUGUGACGUCACACCGCUCUCUUGACGUCCGGCUGCGGAAAGGUUUGUUUGUGUUCGUGUAAAGUGUUAAAACCGAUGGAAACCGUUCAGACGUUAGUAUGCUUUUACAAGAACCGUGAAACGAGCGGAGCGUCGUCGAGUGUAGCACGAUUAACGCUUUAUCCGACAGUGAAGACGCUUAUUGAUGAGAGACACAGAAGUCCUCGAGGUGAAGCGAGAUGGCGUUUAUUAAACAGGAGAGUGAGGACCUGAGGAUUGCAGAGGUAUUCAGCUUGAAACAUGAAGACACUGAGGAACUAACAGGUUGGUUUCAUCCUCAAAGCUGAACUCGCUCACUUUUUCCUUAUUAAAAUGUCCAGCUCUGUAGAAAUUAAUGAUAUUUUUUGAGGAAUGUAAAGUCAUCUUUUAGCUGAAAGCGUGUGCCUAAACGGUCAAAUACACACAAAAAUGUGUCAAAGUGCGGCGCUUGGUGAUUAUUCACGUAAACCCUCGUCGGUUAUGUACUAAAGGAAUGUAAACAGAUACGUGUGUAACAGUAAAUUGGAUCCGUGCAGCUCUUAAAGUGACAACGGCUUAUAUUCCUCACUGCUCUUCACAGAAGGUCUUUAAUAAGAAACAAAGGAAGUUUAGUUUUUACCGUUCAAACACCCUGCAGGUAUUAUAGCUUAAGACGUCAUCCUCAUAAACAAAGCAUUUAUUUAAUAGAGCUCCAAAAAUGGCUUGAUUUGAUCCUAUGGGCGAGGUGACGUCACCUAGCACCAGUUAUUUGCAUAAACUCCGCCUCCUGAGUGACACAUCGACAUGGGCCCCGCCCACCGGCAUUCAUCCGCUAACAGCUGAAACUAGAUUACGCUGGAUGCGAGUGUCGCGUCGUGUUAAAAACAAAUAGAAAUUACAAUAACUGUGCUAUCUUGUCUGGACUGGAUACAGUAUACAGAUGCGUGUUCACUUUCUGACACAGUCCACGUGCUCGAGUCUGUCGUCAGUCAGCCGAUGGAGUGAAAGAACGUCUGCUUUGACGUGUUUGGUUUAAACAGCUCGUUCACGUCUUUGUACUGAUUAGGGAUGUGCAUUUCAAGCAAA